rnacentral:lncRNA from 1 species
GACAGCCAAGAUGGCCCUGAGCGGGGCCCACUGCGGCGGCGGGGCCGAGGGGCGCCGGCCGGGGCCGCUGUCUUCGCCGCCUACCUGAGCGGCGUCAGGGACCAGGGGGCAGGCCCGACGCCCCUCCCGCUCCGCCGCAGCCCCGAGCCGGCGCGUUCCCGGAAACGGGGGCCGGGCGGGCGCCAGGUAUGUGAAGGAAAGCUAAGAUAAUUCAGUGGAUUCUUCACUGGGAAAAAGGCCAGAUUCCAGUUUAUAAACGGAGGCUUGCUGUUGCCAGGCUGGAAUGCAAUGACACGAUCUCAGCUCACUACAACCUCUGCCUCCCGGGUUCAAGCUAUUCUCCUGCCUCAGCCUCCUGAGUAGCUGGGACUACAGGCGCACACCACCACGCCCAGGUUAUUGGGGAACAUGGCAGCUUUUUUUGAAUACCCUCCUCUUUGCCAGUUGCCCAAGGUGGAACAC